CCUACGGGUGGCAGCAGUGAGGAAUAUUGGUCAAUGGGCGCGAGCCUGAACCAGCCAAGUAGCGUGAAGGAUGACUGCCCUACGGGUUGUAAACUUCUUUUAUAAAGGAAUAAAGUGAGGCACGUGUGCCUUUUUGUAUGUACUUUAUGAAUAAGGAUAGGCUAACUCCGUGCCAGCAGCCGCGGUAAUACGGAGGAUCCGAGCGUUAUCCGGUUUUAUUGGGUUUAAAGGGAGCGUAGAUGGGUUGUUAAGUCAGUUGUGAAAGUGUGCGGCUCAACCGUAAAAGUGCAAUUGAUACUGGCAGCCUUGAGGACAGUUGAGGUAGGCGGAAUUCGGGGUGUAGCGGUGAAAUGCUUAGAUAUCACGAAGAACUCCGAUUGCGAAGGCAGCUUACUAAACUGCCACUGACAUUGAUGCUCGAAAGUGUGGGUAUCAAACAGGAUUAGAUACCCGAGUAGUC
rnacentral:rRNA from 1 species